UACGGAGGGGGCUAGCGUUGUUCGGAAUUACUGGGCGUAAAGCGCACGUAGGCGGCUUUGUAAGUUAGAGGUGAAAGCCCGGGGCUCAACUCCGGAAUUGCCUUUAAGACUGCAUCGCUCGAAUUGUGGAGAGGUAAGUGGAAUUCCGAGUGUAGAGGUGAAAUUCGUAGAUAUUCGGAAGAACACCAGUGGCGAAGGCGACUGACUGGACAAGUAUUGACGCUGAGGUACGAAAGCGUGGGGAGCAAACAGG
rnacentral:rRNA from 1 species